rnacentral:rRNA from 1 species
UAGCUAGUUGGUGAGGUAAAGGCUUACCAAGGCGACGAUCUGUAGCGGGUCUGAGAGGAUGAUCCGCCACACUGGAACUGAGACACGGUCCAGACUCCUACGGGAGGCAGCAGUGGGGAAUUUUGGACAAUGGGGGCAACCCUGAUCCAGCCAUGCCGCGUGAGUGAAGAAGGCCUUCGGGUUGUAAAGCUCUUUCGGCCGGGAAGAAAUCGCAUGGGCCAAUACCCUGUGUGGAUGACGGUACCGGAAUAAGAAGCACCGGCUAACUACGUGCCAGCAGCCGCGGUAAUACGUAGGGUGCGAGCGUUAAUCGGAAUUACUGGGCGUAAAGCGUGCGCAGGCGGUUUUGUAAGACAGGCGUGAAAUCCCCGGGCUUAACCUGGGAACUGCGUUUGUGACUGCAAGGCUAGAGUACGGCAGAGGGGGGUGGAAUUCCACGUGUAGCAGUGAAAUGCGUAGAGAUGUGGAGGAACACCAAUGGCGAAGGCAGCCCCCUGGGUCGAUACUGACGCUCAUGCACGAAAGCGUGGGUAGCAAACAGGAUUAGAUACCCUGGUAGUCCACGCCCUAAACUAUGUCAACUAUGUGUUGGGUGGGUAAAACCAUUUAGUACCGUAGCUAACGCGUGAAGUUGACCGCCUGGGGAGUACGGCCGCAAGGUUAAAACUCAAAGGAAUUGACGGGGACCCGCACAAGCGGUGGAUGAUGUGGAUUAAUUCGAUGCAACGCGAAAAACCUUACCUACCCUUGACAUGCCAGGAACUUGCCAGAGAUGGCUUGGUGCCCGAAAGGGAGCCUGGACACAGGUGCUGCAUGGCUGUCGUCAGCUCGUGUCGUGAGAUGUUGGGUUAAGUCCCGCAACGAGCGCAACCCUUGUCGUUAAUUGCCAUCAUUUAGUUGGGCACUUUAACGAGACUGCCGGUGACAAACCGGAGGAAGGUGGGGAUGACGUCAAGUCCUCAUGGCCCUUAUGGGUAGGGCUUCACACGUCAUACAAUGGUCGGUAUAAAGGGUUGCCAAGCCGCGAGGCGGAGCCAAUCCCAGAAAGCCGAUCGUAGUCCGGAUUGCAGGCUGCAACUCGCCUGCAUGAAGUCGGAAUCGCUAAUCGUGGAUCAGCAUGUCACGGUGUAUACGUUCCCGGGUCUUGUACACACCGCCCGUCACACCAUGGGAGCGGGUUCCGCCAGAAGUAGGUAGCCUAACCGCAAGGGGGGCGCUUACCGCGGCGGGGUUCGUGACUGGGGUGAAGUCGGAACAAGGUAGCCGUAGGGGCCUGCGGCUG